AGAGUUUGAUCCUGGCUCAGAAUGAACGCUAGCGGCGUGCCUUAUGCAUGCAAGUCGAACGGUUCCGAUUUAUCGGGAUAGUGGCGAACGGGUGAGUAACGCGUAAGUAACCUGCCCUCAAGUAGGGGAUAACUCUGAGAAAUUGGAGCUAAUACCUUAUGUGGUGAUGGAGAUAGUACUUCAUCACUAAAGCCUUAGGGCGCUUGAGGAUGGGCUUGCGUCCGAUUAGCUAGUUGGUGGGGUAACGGCCUACCAAGGCAACGAUGCAUAGCCGACCUGAGAGGGUGAUCGGCCACAUUGGGACUGAGACACGGCCCAAGCUCCUACGGGAGGCAGCAGUAGGGAAUCUUCCACAAUGGACGAAAGUCUGAUGGAGCAACGCCGCGUGAGUGAUGAAGGUUUUCGGAUCGUAAAACUCUGUUGUAAGGGAAGAACAAGUACGUUAGGAAAUGAACGUACCUUGACGGUACCUUAUUAGAAAGCCACGGCUAACUACGUGCCAGCAGCCGCGGUAAUACGUAGGUGGCAAGCGUUGUCCGGAUUUACUGGGCGUAAAGCGCACGUAGGCGGCUAUUCAAGUCAGAGGUGAAAGCCCGGGGCUCAACCCCGGAACUGCCUUUGAAACUAGAUAGCUUGAAUCCAGGAGAGGUGAGUGGAAUUCCGAGUGUAGAGGUGAAAUUCGUAGAUAUUCGGAAGAACACCAGUGGCGAAGGCGGCUCACUGGACUGGUAUUGACGCUGAGGUGCGAAAGCGUGGGGAGCAAACAGGAUUAGAUACCCUGGUAGUCC
rnacentral:rRNA from 1 species